rnacentral:sRNA from 1 species
AAUUUACUAUUUAAAUUUAAACUGUUUAGAUUGAAAAAAGUUUUAGGGUUGAACUAAGCUUAGCAAGAAAGAUGGAAAUGAAAGCAAAUGACAGACAAGCUGUGACUGGAGGUUAUGGGGUGAAGUCCUCAGUGCCAGUGUGAGCUGAAGAGCUUGUCAGCAAAUUCCUGUGAACACAGUGAAUACACACCCUAAAGAGCUGUGGGCUAGCCCGGGGGACGGAAACCUUCAUGAGGAGUGGAUGUUUAAGCAGGCUUCGCUUACUAGAAAGCCAGUCUCACAACGGUGUGUGAACAUUAGGUAGCAUGCCUAAGAGUUUUAUAAGUUACUAAAGUAAAACCGACCUGUUCCUCAGAGGCAGGGCUCCCAGCACUGCUCGGGGUUAGUUCCUCUAGGUGCGUGUGUUUUUUCAACAUGCCCCAGUGCUAGCUUUGACAUUUUUCUAAUCUUAGAUGCUGGGUGCUAGCUUCCUUCUCUGGAAAUUGUGGAUUUUGUUUCAUUAUUCCACCACCUCCAUCAUCUACUUCCUGUUUCUCUCCAUGGCUGCUGGUUUCUUUGUUGUCACAGUAGAAGCCAGAUCAUUGGCCCUUGUCUGGCCAGCCCUUACAAGGUUAUCCGAAAGCUCUGUGUAGAAGGGUCAAGCAUUAAGGGUGAAGGCUUCUCCACCAGGGCUCAGUCAGAUAUUCUGGGUUCUUCCUGAAGAGUUUCAAGGCCCAAUAUAUGUUUUAAGCCAUAUUUUAUUAUUUUUAAUUAUGUAUGCAUGUAUGUGUCUGUGUAUGUGUCUGUGUGUAUGAGUGCAGGUUCCAGAAUAGUUCAGAAGAAUGUAUUUGAGCCCCUGGAACCAGGCUUACCGUUUGUGAACCAAAAUUGGGUCUUCUGAGAAAGAACUAGGCCCUCUUAGCUGCUGAGCCCAGCAACUCAAAGGCCAGUAUUUUUAAGUCUUCUCCCUCAGGCUGGUCAACUUUCCCAAAGAUGACUCCCACAGCUGGAGCGGUGCAGAGGUCAAUAUGUCAGCUGUUGUAUAGCUCAAACCAUCAUGCAGGCGGGAGGUCAGCUCAGGGUUUCUCUCAGUCUUGAGACUGCCUCCCCACCCACAGCAUGAACUGUGCCUGCUCUAAGUUCGGAGUCUUCAAAUUUAACCUUUCCAGUGGAAACCAUCAGGCGUAGGGCGCUGAGCAGCCUCCAAUCCACAAGAGGGUGAGGGGUCCUGAACCCAGCUGCCUCUUGUGCACUUAGCAAACUCUCCAUCGUCAGCAUCCUGUCCUGUCUCCCGUGGCACUAAGGACCUGGCCCUCUAGUCCUGUGAGAUGCACUGGGCAGCAUGGCGUCCCUACACCAGCUGGGUUGGGUACCAUACAUCUGCUUUGACACAUCCCGAAGCUUUGUUAAAGCACACCACUGCCUCUCACUUCUCUUCUCUUGGUUCUCAUAAAGACUCCCUUUCAGGUUAUUUUGCUGAUUUGUCACCGAGAAGAGUUUACCUUCAUUUGGCCCCUCCCGUUUUGGAGUUAUAAGUUAAGUUCUAAAAGAUACUUGAAGGGUACGAAGGCAUGGGGAAUAGAAAGGCAGCUCAUGAAUGGUCAUCCACUCAUCUCUUCAUUCAUUCACUGUGGUUUUAGAGACAAGAUCGGGCUUUGUAGUGGCCUUAAACACAAUGUCUCUACCUCUGCCUGCCCAGCGCUGAGAUUACAGCACAUCCCUCAGCGACAGGGAGUUUUGAUGCAAAGAAAUAGCCAUUCCAAAAAAAAAAAAAAAUUAGGUAUUUUCAAAAGCCUUGGCCCUGUUCUUAGGAGACAGGGAUUGCAGUUUGGCUAAAGUAUGAAAUAAAACGGUGGGAAUCUAAGCAAGGUGGAAAGGCUCCUUUGGGAGAUGGGUUUCAGAAACGGUCCCAGUUAUUUCCCUCUCUGCCUGCAGGUUCUUCGUGACGUCACUUUGCAACUUCCUCAAGAGGAAGCAUCUCUUGCCCGUCUUUGGAAUCUGCCUUGCGAUGUUUCCGGAUGAUAAAACACGACUGAGGAUGAUGGACAGGCCUGGCUUGAACAAGGGAUCUUGCAUUUCCACUUGGUCAUUCAUCAUCCAGCCAGAGCUGACUGGUGUAGUCCCUGAAUGGAAAUCUGAAGAGGAACCUGGGGACCAACAACAGCUCCUUAGUGGUUCUUGGUGUGAUAAUGGUUCCAGGUAGGAGAUUCAUCUUGUGGAGUGAGACUUAAACGCAACCAGAGUGACUGGCUACUCCCAUCAUGUUCGUGCCACCACUGAACGAGUGGGCACACCUUCGUCAUCUCACAGGGCACACUGCUAGCGGUUCACCGGAAGCGUUAUGGAAGUGCACUCACUAGCACCAUGUACGGCACUGCUGUAUUUACUUCCUCAUCUUUUGGAAUCCUUGUCUUUCCAUCUGAAUUCUCCAUUUCUGGGGAGUGAAGAUGAGCCGAAUAGUAUUUCAUAGUGUAUAUGCACCUUUACGCUAUCUGCUCAUCAGCUGAAGAUCACAUUUUCCUGUUUCCAUUUUCUCCUGAACAGAACAGCGACACGGCAAGCAGCUGAAUGUCUGACUGAUGAGAUUAUAAGCUUGUGGCAGUACGAGUCAAGAAAGGAAGAUAGUGACAUAUUUGUAGUGUCUACAGAGGACAGAAAAACAGCCCACACUUUUGCAGUCGUCCGUUGCCUCCUGUGUUACAGCUUCUCCUCCCAGUGCAUGCAGCUUACUUCUCUACCUCUUCAAUGUGGGUCGAAUAAUGACUUGAGGUUCCCACGAAGGAUCUGCGUUUGUGAAUGAGACCUGAGAGUGCCUGGCCACAGACCCGCUCUUGUCUUCUCAGUGAGACACGUAACGUGAGAGGGCCUGGGGUGGGAUGAGGUUACCAGGCUCCAGGGAUGGCACCCGUGGGCGAGUGCUGUCCAACUUCAGACAGAUCUCAGAUCAGCAGGCAGAACCCUGUACCUGAGGGAAAAACAAUGCCCAGGGCCAAGGAAAUCUCACACGCACGAAGCUUCAACAAAUAGCAAUUCAGAAAUAUGGUGUUUCCACACGACUAAAGAAAAUGACAUACAUUUAUUUAUUUAUUUGUUUAUUUAUCAUCUCAACCACAGUUCCCCAAUUUCUCCUCCCAGCCCUUCCCACUCCCUGCCCUCUGAGUCUCCCCUCAAUCCACUCCUCCUUUCUCUUCAGAAAAGGGCAGGCCUCCCAUAGCUAUCAACCUACCAUGGCAUAUCAAAGUUGCGGUAACACUAGGCACUUCCCUUCCUAUUAAGGUUGAAUGAGGCAACCCAGUAUGAGGAGAAGGUUCCUAAAAGCUGGCAAAAGAGUAAGAAACACCGUCCGCUCCCACUGUAGGGAGUCCCUCAAGGAAACCAAGCUACACAGCUAUAGCAUAUAUAUGCAGAGGGGAAAAUGCAUUUCCUAUUGAAAUUGGUAAACAGCAAACAACAAAUAGUCAUAAUCAAUAGACUUAGAUGGAAAACAAUAGUAUCUGUUUUUAGCUUCCAACCGAUUUGCAUCUCAUCACCUGGCAUCCCCUGCACACAUGGGGAUGGAAACAUAUUUAUUUGGAGUGAGGGCCUUGGGAAAGUGACCGUGUUUGUGGGGCAUUUGAGGGGCAUUGUGGCGGUUUGGGAUCGGGUUUUCCAAACACACCAUCAAAACGCUAGGUGGUACAGAGUGCUUCUGUGGUUUUGUGAGUUUUAGGACGGGGGUUUUUGGUAUUUAAUUGGUUCAGUCCCAUGUGUUCCCUAAUGGUUACAAAUGAUUAGGAGCUCAAAGCUACAAAAUCUGCUUAGCUGAGGGUAAUCCUGCCCUGGUAGUCACUCACUAUGCCCGAGGAAACAAACAAAAGUAGUGUUUAAUGUAUUAUCAGAGUAGAUGGCUGCCCCAGCAUUAACUGCAGCAACUGUUAACUAUGGGUGUGUGUUAAGCCAUAAUUACAGUGGCAGCGUGUCAUGGAGAACCAGAGACUUAUCUGUUUUGGGCUCUUUAACGUCACUAGCAAGGCUGAAAAUGGGUCCCUCAGGGCUGUGUACAAUCUCAUGAAAACACAUUUGGCUUAAGCGAACGAGUAGACAGUUAUGACUGCCAUGCUAAGACAAUGCAGUUGGAGCACACAUUGAGCCACAAAGAAGUCGCCCCUCUUGCGAACUGCACUCAUGGGCCGCCUCUCCCUGGGAGGCCAGCUAGGAGGCGCUGAGGGACAGGUGGGUGGCAGUCGUUGUACUCAGAAAGGAUGUUAGAAACCAAUUAAUGCUUCCUAACUUAAUAAGCAUAAACUGUCAGUCAUUAAAUCCUUAUGUCAUGCAAUAGGUUCAUGGUUGUAUGAGAUGCUUGGGACCCAAGUGCCUAAUUUUAGAAGAAAUGACUGGGGACUAGCUAGAGAUGAAAGCGGUGGCCAUAUCAGCUCUGGGUGUGGAAAGUAGAAAUCCCAAGACGAGUGUUGCAAUUACGGUCAACUCAGAGAGGGCACAAAGCCAUCCUCAGAGAACAGAUGCCUCUCCCUGGGCAGAGCCAGCUCUCAGAUUCACUUCUUUUGAGCAUCCACACUGCAGGUUUGGAUAAGUCCCCUCACCUACACACAGCCGUGGUCAACUCAUCAGCGCUGUAAAUGAUUCCAGCAAAGCAUAAUGGGACAGGAUCUGAGCGAAGACUCUCUGACACAUAGUAGAGACUCAGGAGACCAUGGCCGUUGAUGGGUCCACCACAUCUACCUUCAGUGUGGUACACAAGGAGACCAGGUAGAGGCCUGUGGAGAAGUCAAGGCGUGUCUGAGAGAGGUUUCCAGAUUCUCCAGCCAAUGCUUCUUCUAUUCCACCAUGACCCUUGGGAAGCAGAGAUCACCGAGAAGCUAGACUUCUCACAUCUUUGUACUUGUGUGGGCUGCAAUGCUCAAAAGAAAGGCAGUUUGAACUCACAGAGAUGUCAGUAUGGUAAAUUAAGGGAUUAUAGUUCUUCCUCUGUGAGUCUGCUCUGACCUGAGCCAAGCAGGGAAACUAGACAAAGAGAUGGAGGAGAAUGAUACACGGAAUGCAGAAGGGCGAAAGAGUUGGAGCAGAGGCCUUUUGUCUCAAGCAAUGGACAGCAGAACUAGCCUAUCUCCAAGAUACCUCAACCAUCUUUCUGCUCCAUCUAUCCCUCUGUCUCAUUGCGUUAGGCUGAGAAUGGGAGGAGAAAGGGAACCCUUCAGAAGCAAUUUUUUAACUGACAAUGCAGAAAGGCUCUGUUCAGAAUUAAGGGGCCUUCUGUAUGGGUUUGGCCUGGGGUCAUUACUGAAGAGAUGGUUGUUUUUUUAGAUAUCGUUUUAUUUCCAAAAUCCAUAGUUAACUGCAAAAGCCCAAACUCAAUGGUUCUUUAUUGGCCCAAACACUUCAGUAAAAAA